CUUUUGUCUAUUUUUACUUUUAGCGGUGAACGAGUCAAACAAGCUUGAUACACGGGACACACACGAAUAUAACAAGGAACUUAAUAGAAUGUAUAGUAGUUAUUACAUGGGAAUGUGACACUAUUAGACACUUUUGGAAAAUGUUUUGAUUUUUUAGGCACUUCCAAGAGUUUAGGCACUUUACUUUAUUUUUGGUGAGAAAAUGGACAAAAUUACCCCUGCGAUAUUGACGUAAAUUAACUAACCUUCUUUUUUUAUUGUGGCUGAUUAUGUUCUUUUUAAU
rnacentral:lncRNA from 1 species